rnacentral:rRNA from 1 species
CAAUAGCGUAUAUUAAAGUUGUUGCGGUUAAAAAGCUCGUAGUUGGAUUUCUGCCGAGGACGACCGGUCCGCCCUCCGGGUGAGUAUCUGGCUCGGCCUGGGCAUCUUCUUGGAGAACGUAACUGCACUUGGCUGUGUGGUGCGGUAUUCAGGACUUUUACUUUGAGGAAAUUAGAGUGUUUCAAGCAGGCACACGCCUUGAAUACAUUAGCAUGGAAUAAUAAGAUAGGACCUCGGUUCUAUUUUGUUGGUUUCUAGAUCUGAGGUAAUGAUUAAUAGGGAUAGUUGGGGGCAUUCGUAUUUAACUGUCAGAGAUGAAAUUCUUGGAUUUGUUAAAGACGGACUACUGCGAAAGCAUUUGCCAAGGAUGUUUUCAUUGA